rnacentral:lncRNA from 1 species
CUGAUGAAUGAAGUUAUGCACAUUUGAAUCCACUUGGGACUUUCUUGCCACAAGCAUUAAGAAGCAAGCUGAGGGACACAGGCACAUUAAGUUUGAUCCCCAAAACGUUAGCCUUAAUAGCAGUGCAUAAGCAAACGGCAGCAUCAAGGUCAGCAAGGCCGCCGAUAAGGGUGCAGCAUGGCUUAACAGAUGGUGAACCCACUUGGACUCCAACCAACCCGCCGAGCAGAUUAGCACACACCCCUAGUUUCAAGGUGUCUUUAGGGCAGUAAGUCUUACUUGGCUUUGGUUUUGGUUUAGGGGUAGUGCUACCACAAGUUCCGCAACCACUCACCAUGGUAAAAAAGAUAAGAUUAAAUGCUAGAAAGAGGACCAGUGAAGCAUUGCACUUCGAAGCCAUCUACAAUAAAAAUAAAAAGCGCUUUACAAAAUAAGAGAGUGUAGUAGUUAAAAUGAUGGGUGCAUGUGGAAUAAGGGAUUGAAGGCUAUAUAUAGUCGAAUUAAAGAGGGUUUUGGCCACUUCUAGCUGGCAUCAAAAGGUACACAUCAACAUGCAAAUAUCCAUGGCCCAUGUUGUUCAAUAAUGAAGCUCUAUAUCUUAUCUCUACUAGAGAUCCAAC